AAGGAUUUAAGUUAAUAAAACUAUCAGCCUUCAAAGCUGGAAAUAGGGAUUCUAGUUGUCUAAGCCUUA
rnacentral:tRNA from 1 species